CGAGACGAGCUCCCAAGGGAGUGAAGUUGUUGAUGCCCUGCUUCCAGGAAAAGCUUCUAAACUUAUGAUUAUAUGAACCGUACCCCAAACCGACACAGGUGGUCAGGUAGAGAAUACUAAGGCGCUUGAGAGAACUCGGGUGAAGGAACUCGGCAAAAUUGUACCGUAACUUCGGGAGAAGGUACGCCUCUGUUUGUGAACACUUCGCGUGGUAAGCAAAUGGAGGCCGCAGUGACCAGGUGGCUGGGACUGUUUAUUAAAAACACAGCACUCUGCAAACUCGUAAGAGGACGUAUAGGGUGUGACACCUGCCCGGUGCCGGAAGGUUAAUUGAUGGGGUUAGUUUUCGGACGAAGCUCUUGAUCGAAGCCCCGGUAAACGGCGGCCGUAACUAUAACGGUCCUAAGGUAGCGAAAUUCCUUGUCGGGUAAGUUCCGACCUGCACGAAUGGUGUAACCAUGGCCACGCUGUCUCCACCCGAGACUCAGUGAAAUUGAAAUCGCAGUGAAGAUGCUGUGUACCCGCACCUAGACGGAAAGACCCCGUGAACCUUUACUACAGCUUGGCACUGAACAUUGAACCUACAUGUGUAGGAUAGGUGGGAGGCUUUGAAGCACAGUCGCUAGAUUGUGUGGAGCCGUCCUUGAAAUACCACCCUUGUAUGUUUGAUGUUCUAACAUUGUUCCCUUAUCGGGAAUGUGGACAGUGUCUGGUGGGUAGUUUGACUGGGGCGGUCUCCUCCCAAAUAGUAACGGAGGAGCACGAAGGUUAGCUAAUCACGGUCGGACAUCGUGAGGUUAGUGCAAUGGCAUAAGCUAGCUUAACUGCGAGACAGACACGUCGAGCAGGUACGAAAGUAGGUCAUAGUGAUCCGGUGGUUCUGUAUGGAAGGGCCAUCGCUCAACGGAUAAAAGGUACUCCGGGGAUAACAGGCUGAUACCGCCCAAGAGUUCAUAUCGACGGCGGUGUUUGGCACCUCGAUGUCGGCUCAUCACAUCCUGGGGCUGAAGUCGGUCCCAAGGGUAUGGCUGUUCGCCAUUUAAAGUGGUACGCGAGCUGGGUUUAGAACGUCGUGAGACAGUUCGGUCCCUAUCUGGUGUGGGCGUUGGAUGAUUGAUGGGAGCUGCUCCUAGUACGAGAGGACCGGAGUGGACGAACCGCUGGUGUUCGGGUUGUCAUGCCAAUGGCAUUGCCCGGUAGCUAUGUUCGGAACGGAUAACCGCUGAAAGCAUCUAAGCGGGAAGCCGGCCCAAAGAUGAGUCAUCCCUGACCUUUAAGGUCUGGAAGGGUUGUUAUAGACGAUGACGUUGAUAGGCAGGGUGUGGAAGCGUUGUAAGGCGUUAAGCUAACCUGUACUAAUUGCCCGAGAGGCUUAACCAU
rnacentral:rRNA from 1 species